rnacentral:rRNA from 1 species
CCCCUGNAAAGACUGCGAAAGCAGGGACGCUAUCUUCGGAUAGACAGGGAGACAGGUGGUGCAUGGUUGUCGUCAGCUCGUGUCGUGAGAUGUUGGGUUAAGUCCCGCAACGAGCGCAACCCCUACGGAUAGUUGCCAGCGGGUAAAGCCGGGCACUCUAACCGAACUGCCGUUGACAAAACGGAGGAAGGUGGGGAUGACGUCAAAUCAUCAUGCCCUUUAUGUCCUGGGCUACACACGUGCUACAAUGGCCGGUACAAAGGGCAGCGAACCCGCGAGGGGGAGCGAAUCCCGGCAAAGCCGGUCCCAGUUCGGAUUGCAGGCUGCAACCCGCCUGCAUGAAGUCGGAAUCGCUAGUAAUCGCAGGUCAGCAUACUGCGGUGAAUACGUUCCCGGGUCUUGUACACACCG